rnacentral:lncRNA from 1 species
AUCUGGCUGCUGUGUGGAGAAAGAGUGAAGAUACGGAAGUUGGAGGUUCUCGUAGCAAUGCAGAUCCCCUUUUAUUUUUCAGAAUUGUGGCUUGCAUUGUAAGAGGAGCCUGUGAAUUCAGAGGCAAGUCUGCUGAGGACCGAAUGUUCCUGUCCAUAAAAACAGAAGUCUGGCCUGGGCUCCUCUCUUGGGUGAAUUUGCAAUGCCAGAUCCUCUCUAUCAGUUUGGUUUUGUUUCUUGUAUCUCUGGGAAGGCAGGCAGACAGCACGGUCACCUGUGAAUGCAGCUACAAUUGGCUUAGCUGCCUCACUGAUAAAUGUGCCCCCAGUAAGCUACAAAGGGAUUACCAGCGUUCUCAGCAGCUAAAGGAACUGGUGAAGAUUUCCCCAGCAAAAAGUAGAAGCUCAGUGUUUCAUAGAUGAAGACUGGGGAGAUUGCAAAAGACCCAUCCAGCAGUGGUUCUCAGACCUCAGUGUGCAUCAGAAUCACCUGGAAGGCUUGUGAAAACACGUAUUGCUGGGCCACACCCCCAGAAUUUCUGGAUCAGUAAAGCUGGGAUUCUUACUUUGAGUAGCCAACUUGCAGAAUACAAUAGAAUUUUGGGAGGAGCCCCUCGAUGCCUGGCUUUACUGUUGGAGAGACAGUACAGUAUACACCAGAUGACUUAUUUGUGAACCAUGGAAACGUUUGGAAAAGGACUGUUUCUGCCAUGCGUGUUACUCAUUGCCAUGGUGCUUAUGACAGUGAAGGAAAG